UGGGGAAUUUUGGACAAUGGGCGAAAGCCUGAUCCAGCCAUGCCGCGUGUCUGAAGAAGGCCUUCGGGUUGUAAAGGACUUUUGUCAGGGAAGAAAAGGGCGGGGUUAAUACCCCUGUCUGAUGACGGUACCUGAAGAAUAAGCACCGGCUAACUACGUGCCAGCAGCCGCGGUAAUACGUAGGGUGCGAGCGUUAAUCGGAAUUACUGGGCGUAAAGCGGGCGCAGACGGUUACUUAAGCAGGAUGUGAAAUCCCCGGGCUCAACCUGGGAACUGCGUUCUGAACUGGGUGACUAGAGUGUGUCAGAGGGAGGUAGAAUUCCACGUGUAGCAGUGAAAUGCGCAGAGAUGUGGAGGAAUACCGAUGGCGAAGGCAGCCUCUUGGGAUAACACUGACGUUCAUGCCCGAAAGCGUGGGUAGCAAACAGGAUUAGAUACCCUGGUAGUCCACGCCCUAAACGAUGUCGAUUAGCUGUUGGGCAGCAUGACUGCUUAGUAGCGAAGCUAACGCGUGAAAUCGACCGCCUGGGGGAGUACGGUCGCAAGAUUA
rnacentral:rRNA from 1 species